CGCGGGAGAAGCCGUAGAGGCGGCGGAGAGGGAGCAGUUCUACAGUUUCUGUAAGAAUGGAAAGUAUUUCCACGAGUUUCCAUACAGAAGUAUCUUUACACACCAUGCAGAAGCUGAUACAUGCUGUAAAUUCUACUCCCAUUCAGCCUUCCAGGCCAAGUGAAGACUCUUCCCUGCUUUAAGGCACAAGAGAUUCUUUCACAGUGUUUGGAAUACGACUGGCAUAGUAGUCAUAAUUUCUCAAAGUGGCAAGGACACCAGCUGAAUUCAUGUGUUUCAC